rnacentral:lncRNA from 1 species
ACAAGCUCGAGGCUGCUGCCACAUGGAAGGCCGGGAGAGAGACGGGCGGCCAGGACAGGGGCCGGCUGUUUGCAGGGGAGGCAUGUGUGUGGAGAACGCCUAGGAGCACGUGGGUGGCCACGAACCCUGACCGUGCAGGUCGAGAAACUCUUCCAGGAUAGUAUGUGGUGGAUCGUGUCUGCCUAAAAGUGAGUCAAUUCUGCCCAUGAGCAAGUCUUCCAGACUGUUGGGCCCUAGACGAAGAACGACCUGCAAGCCGGGAAUUCUCUGCAAAGGACAAUGUCAAAACUCAUCUGAGGCAUCCAUGUCUGUCCUACAGCAAGCUUCCCCGUGACACUGGAGGGACCUAGGCUCCCGGCAGUUUUCAGGAGCCAGCCCUGGGCUAGGGGCUCCACAGUACUUGCAAACAAAGAGUUCCAAAAACCCAAUUUGCAUUCACCCAUGUAAGAAGUGCCUGAUAAGGAAGUAGCGUCUCUAUUUCCUGGGAUGGGGAUUUUUGCUCUGGGGUAUCAGAUAAUAUUAUUUGUAAGCUAGUCAUCACCAUCCUUC